AACCUUAGCAGCGCGGGUGCGGUUUGCGGUUUCCGUUGAGAGAGACAAAACCCUGCCGGUGUGGGAGCUGAGCCUCUGACCCACGGCCCAGGCCUUGCGUAAUUUCUCAGUCGUAAUCCUCUGACAACCAUUGAAGAUUCUCAUCUUUUUAAAUUGCCAGCAUUAAAAUACCUGGACCUAGGAAAAACACAAGUGCGACUUGGGACUCUUGAAAACAUCCUCCUGAUGACUCUUAAGUUGAAAAGCUUUGAAGAAGCAUCUAUAGGAAACACAAAAGGAAAAUUCAUGAAGGUGUUACAGACCCAGAAGAAGAGCACAAGCACUGAGCUGACUGUUGAACCAAAGAAAGGGGAUAUGAGGACCAAAAAGUCAGCUUUUCUGGCUUCAUAAAUGAGUAGCUAGACUUCAAUGAUGAAAGUGAUCUCAUUAGUGCACUAAAUUACAUAUUGCCAUUUUCCUCACAGGGAAAUCUAGAAAAUGCAGAAUCAGCAUUGUUACUGUUCAUUAAACUGCUUCUUUCCAAUGUGCAAAAUGGAAAUAAUUUCACUGGUAAAUUGAAAAAUGAUACAAGGAGACUCCUCCUUAAACCUUCUUCAAACAACUCAGUUUAUAAAAGUAAAUUCUGGAAAAUUUGUUAUAGGCAGAAAUUCAAAGAAAAAUUGAUGAGGGUAAAAAGAAAAAAUAGCCAUGUUUAUGCAGCCCAGCCUUUUAGGUCCCAAAUUUAAAUGCCAAAUCUUUCAAAGGAAAAUGGAUACUGCCCAACCACAGGAAAAUAGUCUGGCAGAGACUGAAGAGAAAAGGCUGCAGAGGGUGAACAGAGUCCCUAAGGAGCCAAAAAAGAUACAGAAAAGGCCCUUCAAGGAAGUGAGGAGACAGAGCAUCUGGGAGAAGCAGAGUGCCCCCCCUCUUGUGGAAACUAUUGCUGCAGAAAGGAGGGAUAAGAGACCACGCCUAAGGGAGCUGGAGCAGCUUCACAUGGUCCAGGAGCCCAGGAUGUCAGAGGAGUUCACCUUCCAAACAGAGCCCUCACUCACAAAAGAACAGAAGGCAACAGUCUCUUCUCUCCUAAUUCCAUACUCAGUGGACAGGGCUUUCAUGUCCUCCACUGCAAAACCACUCUCUGAGGUCAGAAAUAAAGCAAAAGACUUAACCUACACCAUGUUUUAGAAGAUGCAAAUGCUAGAAAUAAAAACACAGAGGCUUCUAAACCAACCACAUAGGCCAGAAAAAAUCAUCACCUUCAUUAAAAUAGGCUCUUGUGUGGUCUGUAGAAUACCGAUGUUCAAAGCGAGUCAAAAGUUCAGAAAGAAAAAUUCAUGCUUGAACAUGCUGGUUGAACACAGGCCUCCAUUCUCUACAGUGAGGAGCUUCAUAAAUUCCCCUUCACAAAGGGCCUUUUCAUCUUUGGGAGACCUCAGUUCUCAGGACAACCCUUUUUCAGAAUUAUCUGCUAUUUCAAACUUGUUACAGAGGACACUCCUGUAGAAAAACAGACAGAAGAAAAUGCUUUUGAAGGAAAUGCUCUUAUGGCAAACACGGAUGAGCCAGCGGAAACUCUCUCUGAAGCCACAAAGCAGGAAGAUGCUGCUGAUGCAGAUUCUAGUGUGGGUGCAUUCAACUUAACACCAACUGUGAAACAAACCAGUGAGAUACAAUGGGAAUACCCCAACAUGGGCACUGACACACCAACUCCCAACUCAGUCUCCAGAAUCCUCUGAGGAGGCUAGUGAUCUUCCUCCAUUGGGAGAUAGCAUUUUCACCUCUGGAUCUAGAAAUAGUGUUUGAAAUCAGUGUCCAAAUUUGCAAGAAACCACAGUUAAACAUGUGGAUGUGGAGAUUAUCAUGAUUCCACAGAACACUGUGGACUUUGAACCUAUUCCAGUCCAGCAGGACCCUUAGAACCCUACAGAUCCCACUAAGCAACUUGAAUUUUCUCCUACCCAGUCUGGACCACCUUCCCUGAAAAUGCUGAAUCCUCUCUAGCCCAGCAAGAGCCCACAAGUCAACCUUCUCCAGCCCAGCAAGGGCCCAAAGCACAACCUUCUCUAGCCCAAUUCAACAACUUGGUAAUAAGGAAGUAGCAAUCAGUGCAUCAUGAGGUAAAUGUUCCAUCUCCAAGUAUGGAGUCCAACUCCAAAAGUCACCGUGAAACAUAUUGAUCUGGAGGUUACACUAACUCCAGAGUCGUCUUCUCCAAGCCAGCAGGUCUCAGAGAGUACUGCGGAGGUUAACACCCUCAUCCACUCAACAAGAGGCUCCAGCUCAGACUUCAGAGCUCCCUGAAGACAGUGAACCUUCUCGAAGCCAGAUAGAAGCCUCAGUUUAGCCUACAAAUCCUCCUGAAGAGGUCAAACUUCCUGUUGAGCAAGAGGCUACCAUUGAAGCUCCAGAGUCCCCUAUGGAGAAUACAGCUCCAACUCUACCAAAUCAGGAGGUGACAGUUCAACCUCCAGCUCAGCAUCAAGCUCAACAGAAUAACUUGCCUAGCGAUACAGGUAAGCCUGCGGAUGUGGAAAUCACCAUAACUCCAGAACCUAACAAGGAGGCUGCAUCUUCUUUAGCCUAGCCAGAGGCCCCAGCUGAGCCUCCUCCUCCUCCUCUCUUGGGGAGGCUGAAACUUCUGGAAGCCAUCUGGAGUCCCCAGUUCAGCCUCCAGAGUAUGGUGAGGAGCUUUAACCUUCUUUAAUCCAGCAAGUAGUCUCACCUCAGCCUUCAGGCCCUUUUUCAGAGACUGAAACUUCUCCCAGUGAGCAAGAAUAGCCAGCUCAACCUUCCAAGUCUCCUGAGGAAUUGGAACCUUCUGGAAGCCAGACAGAAGCUCUAGUUCAGCCUGCAAAGCUGUCUGAGAAAGUCAAGCCUUCAGUUGAGCAAGAGGUUCCAGUUCAAGCUCUAGAGGUGACAGUUCAAGCUUCAGGUCAAAAUAAGCACAACAGUAUAACUUGCCCAGAAUAACAAGUAAGACUGUGGAUGUGGAAAUUUCCAUAACAGAGGGGAAAGGAGAAUUAAUACCUCCCCUUCUUUUUCUUAGGAGGGCUUUUUCUGGUUAAGGCAGCCAGUUUGGCUUAGGAAUAUAUAUAGACCUCUCAAUGCCACAUGCAAUCAAUGCCACAGGCAAGAAAAAUAUGGCCCAACAGCUACCUGACAAGGACUCUUCUGCUGAGGAUGAGAUUUUCAAUAAAGAUGCAGUAUAAGUCGGUCAAGCCUGUAAUCCUAGAUACUCAGGAGGAUCAUGGUUUAAAGCCAGCCUCAGCAAAUAGU